CCUACGGGAGGCAGCAGUGGGGAAUAUUGGGCAAUGGGCGCAAGCCUGACCCAGCAACGCCGCGUGAAGGAAGACGGCUUUCGGGUUGUAAACCUCUUUUAAGAGGAAAGAGCAGCUGACGGUACCUCUUGAAUACACCACGGCUAACUACGUGCCAGCAGCCGAGGUAAUACGUAGGUGGCAGGCGUUGCCCGGAUUUACUGGGUGUAAAGGGCGUGUAGCCGGGCUGACAAGUCAGAGGUGAAAUCUGCGUGCUCAACCCACGAACUGCGUUUGAAACUGUUGGUCUUGAGCAUCGGAGUGGCAGGCGGAAUUCCUAGUGUAGCGGUGAAAUGCGUAGAUAUUAGGCAGAACACCAGUGGCGAAGGCGGCCUGCUGGACGACAACUGACGGUGAGGCGCGAAAGCGUGGGGAGCAAACAGGAUUAGAUACCCUUGUAGUC
rnacentral:rRNA from 1 species